rnacentral:misc_RNA from 1 species
UUUCCGUAGGUGAACCUGCGGAAGGAUCAUUAUUGUAUAACCGAGGUGCGAGGGCUGUCGCUGACCUUUUCGGUCGUGCACGCCCGAGCGCUCUCACACAAUCCAUCUCACCCCUUGUGCACCACCGCGUGGGUCCCUUUCUGGCUCGUUCGGAGGGGGGCUCGCGUUUUCACACAAACUUGAAGUAGUGUAGAAUGUCCUUUUUUUGCGAUAACACGCAAUCAAUACAACUUUCAACAACGGAUCUCUUGGCUCUC